UGGCGAACGGGUGAGUAAUACAUCGGAACGUGUCCUGUAGUGGGGGAUAGCCCGGCGAAAGCCGGAUUAAUACCGCAUACGACCUAAGGGAGAAAGCGGGGGAUCUUCGGACCUCGCGCUAUAGGGGCGGUCGAUGGCAGAUUAGCUAGUUGGUGGGGUAAAGGCCUACCAAGGCGACGAUCUGUAGCUGGUCUGAGAGGACGACCAGCCACACUGGGACUGAGACACGGCCCAUACUCCUACGGGAGGCAGCAGUGGGGAAUUUUGGACAAUGGGCGCAAGCCUGAUCCAGCAAUGCCGCGUGUGUGAAGAAGGCCUUCGGGUUGUAAAGCACUUUUGUCCGGAAAGAAAACUUCGGCCCUAAUAUGGCUGGAGGAUGACGGUACCGGAAGAAUAAGCACCGGCUAACUACGUGCCAGCAGCCGCGGUAAUACGUAGGGUGCGAACGUUAAUCGGAAUUACUGGGCGUAAAGCGUGCGCAGGCGGUCUGUUAAGACCGAUGUGAAAUCCCCGGGCUUAACCUGGGAACUGCAUUGGUGACUGGCAGGCUUUGAGUGUGGCAGAGGGAGGUAGAAUUCCACGUGUAGCAGUGAAAUGCGUAGAGAUGUGGAGGAAUACCGAUGGCGAAGGCAGCCUCCUGGGCCAACACUGACGCUCAUGCACGAAAGCGUGGGGAGCAAACAGGAUUAGAUACCCUGGUAGUCCACGCCCUAAACGAUGUCAACUAGUUGUUGGGGAUUCAUUUCCUUAGUAACGUAGCUAACGCGUGAAGUUGACCGCCUGGGGAGUACGGUCGCAAGAUUAAAACUCAAAGGAAUUGACGGGGACCCGCACAAGCGGUGGAUGAUGUGGAUUAAUUCGAUGCAACGCGAAAAACCUUACCUACCCUUGACAUGGUCGGAACCCUGCUGAAAGGUGGGGGUGCCCGAAAGAGAACCGGCGCACAGGUGCUGCAUGGCUGUCGUCAGCUCGUGUCGUGAGAUGUUGGGUUAAGUCCCGCAACGAGCGCAACCCUUGUCCUUAGUUGCUACGCAAGAGCACUCUAAGGAGACUGCCGGUGACAAACCGGAGGAAGGUGGGGAUGACGUCAAGUCCUCAUGGCCCUUAUGGGUAGGGCUUCACA
rnacentral:rRNA from 1 species